rnacentral:rRNA from 1 species
GACGAACGCUGGCGGCGUGCUUAACACAUGCAAGUCGAACGGAAAGGCCCUGCUUUUGUGGGGUGCUCGAGUGGCGAACGGGUGAGUAACACGUGAGUAACCUGCCCUUGACUUUGGGAUAACUUCAGGAAACUGGGGCUAAUACCGGAUAGGAGCUCCUGCUGCAUGGUGGGGGUUGGAAAGUUUCGGCGGUUGGGGAUGGACUCGCGGCUUAUCAGCUUGUUGGUGGGGUAGUGGCUUACCAAGGCUUUGACGGGUAGCCGGCCUGAGAGGGUGACCGGCCACAUUGGGACUGAGAUACGGCCCAGACUCCUACGGGAGGCAGCAGUGGGGAAUAUUGCACAAUGGGCGGAAGCCUGAUGCAGCAACGCCGCGUGCGGGAUGACGGCCUUCGGGUUGUAAACCGCUUUCGCCUGUGACGAAGCGUGAGUGACGGUAAUGGGUAAAGAAGCAACGGCUAACUACGAG